GUGCCAGCCGCCGCGGUAAUACAGAGGUGGCAAGCGUUGUUCGGAAUUACUGGGCGUAAAGGGCGCGUAGGCGGCCCGUCAAGUCCCGUGUGAAAGCCCCCGGCUCAACCGGGGAACGGCGCGGGAAACUAGCAGGCUUGAGUUCGGGAGAGGGAAGCGGAAUUCCGGGUGUAGCGGUGAAAUGCGCAGAUAUCCGGAGGAACACCGGUGGCGAAGGCGGCUUCCUGGACCGACACUGACGCUGAGGCGCGAAAGCUAGGGGAGCAAACGGGAGGAUAAACCAGCGGAUUAC
rnacentral:rRNA from 1 species